rnacentral:pre_miRNA from 1 species
GAGAUACUCCCUUCAUUCCAAAAUUCUUGUCUUAGAUUUGUGUAAAUAUGAAUGUAUCUAGUCACAUUUUAGUAUUUACAUACAUCUAUUUUUAGACAAAUUUAAGACAAGAAUUUUGGGACGAAUGAGUACUAC